UACGAAGGGUGCAAGCGUUACUCGGAAUUACUGGGCGUAAAGCGCGCGCAGGCGGCUUCUUAAGUCUGAUGUGAAAUCUCGGGGCUCAACCCCGAGCGGCCAUUGGAAACUGGGAAGCUUGAGUGCAGAAGAGGAGAGUGGAAUUCCACGUGUAGCGGUGAAAUGCGUAGAUAUGUGGAGGAACACCAGUGGCGAAGGCGACUCUCUGGUCUGUAACUGACGCUGAGGCGCGAAAGCGUGGGGAGCAAACAGG
rnacentral:rRNA from 1 species